rnacentral:rRNA from 1 species
UCAGAUUGAACGCUGGCGGCAGGCCUAACACAUGCAAGUCGAACGGUAACAGGAAGCAGCUUGCUGCUUUGCUGACGAGUGGCGGACGGGUGAGUAAUGUCUGGGAAACUGCCUGAUGGAGGGGGAUAACUACUGGAAACGGUAGCUAAUACCGCAUAACGUCGCAAGACCAAAGUGGGGGACCUUCGGGCCUCAUGCCAUCAGAUGUGCCCAGAUGGGAUUAGCUAGUAGGUGGGGUAACGGCUCACCUAGGCGACGAUCCCUAGCUGGUCUGAGAGGAUGACCAGCCACACUGGAACUGAGACACGGUCCAGACUCCUACGGGAGGCAGCAGUGGGGAAUAUUGCACAAUGGGCGCAAGCCUGAUGCAGCCAUGCCGCGUGUAUGAAGAAGGCCUUCGGGUUGUAAAGUACUUUCAGCGAGGAGGAAGGGGUUAAGGUUAAUAACCUUGGCCAUUGACGUUACUCGCAGAAGAAGCACCGGCUAACUCCGUGCCAGCAGCCGCGGUAAUACGGAGGGUGCAAGCGUUAAUCGGAAUUACUGGGCGUAAAGCGCACGCAGGCGGUCUGUCAAGUCGGAUGUGAAAUCCCCGGGCUCAACCUGGGAACUGCAUCCGAAACUGGCAGGCUUGAGUCUCGUAGAGGGGGGUAGAAUUCCAGGUGUAGCGGUGAAAUGCGUAGAGAUCUGGAGGAAUACCGGUGGCGAAGGCGGCCCCCUGGACGAAGACUGACGCUCAGGUGCGAAAGC